AGUCACGUGGUCUAAUGGUUAUGAUAUCUCGUUCACAAAAUGAACGCAUCCCGAGAUGGUUCCCGGUUCGAUCCCGGGCGUGACUA
rnacentral:tRNA from 1 species